GGUAAGAGCCCACCGGCUCCGAUGGCGACACCGGAGGCCGCACAUCUCAUGUGUUGCAAGGCCAAAUAUACCGGCAGUCAAGGGCUGCUCGUCCAUUGCCGGGGGGUAGGCUGCUUAAGCCCGCAGGCAACUGUGAGGCGCAGAUAAAUGACAGACACCGCACGGGGUAAGACCCGUCGGCACAUAACCCGGCUUAUAUCAUAUCUGUUUUU
rnacentral:RNase_P_RNA from 1 species